rnacentral:RNase_P_RNA from 2 species
GUUGGGCGGAAUGCUCGCUCAAGGGGACACAUUCGAGGGACUUCACAGUCUCUGCCAAUACCCCAUGGGAAGGUCUGAGAUAAAGGCCGAUGAGUUCUAGACGGACGCCCUCGUAACAGAGGUGUGGGAAACUAGAAAUAGGCUUGACGAGUUGCAUAUUCGGCAGAAGAUGGUCUGUACUCCUGGAGUAUAGCCCGGAUGCCAGCGGCUGCGUCAUAGUUGGAAAAGCCCACGGCCGGCUAAGUGAGUGCAAUCAGCGAGGUGGCUUUCUAAGCGAAGUCAUAACUCAAUUCAGACUACUCUUCGCCCAAC